CUGCAUGAAGUCGGAAUCGCUAGUAAUCGCAGGUCAGCAUACUGCGGUGAAUACCGGUUCCCGGGCCUUGUACACACCGCCCGUCACACCACGAAGUUGGUAACACCCGAAGCCGGCGAUCCGACGCGCAAGCGAGGAAACCGUCGAAGGUGGGAUCGAUGAUUGGGGUGAAGUCGUAACAAGGUAGC
rnacentral:rRNA from 1 species